AUAUGAACACCCAUGUGAUUAUAAAGUCUCACGUUGGUUCCUCCGUGCAACUUCAUGCCUGACUUACAUUCAUAUUGUUCUUUCACCACACUUACGCUUCUCCAAAUUUAGAAAGAAGCUGUGUACACAGUGUUCUUGCGAGUUACAAUAACGCGUCCGGUUUGGCGGCAACUUCAAAGAGUGGACAUAUGGUUGCUCCUUCAGCCACAGCAAAGAUCCCGAACCACGUGCAGUCAGAGUUACAGCGUCUGGUUACCGUCUUGCAGUUACGAUACAGAAUAUGUGCACAUAGCUUUCAAUGACCAGACGAAAAAAAGAAUUCAUUUCAAGUAUGUUGAGAAGAAAACGACCCAUCUCUGAAAAAAUCACCUCACCCAAGAAAAUACGACUCAUUCAUGAGAAUGAAAAGUGCAAAGUCUCCCAAGAAAUUGUCUUGUAAUAUAGCAUGUGAAUAAAUAUUUUUUUUGAAAUAUCUCACGAAAUUAGUUUUAUUUUAUUGCUUGUAAUCAUGUGAACUAAAAAUGUUUGUUUUGAGGAAAAAGGUCAUUUGAAGCAACUCCAGGUUAAACUAUCCAAUGAUCGAAUCUUAUUUCUCCUGAAUUAAAAUAAUUCUGCUAAAUAUUACUGCAGAAAAAAAUUCGGCCAGAAAUUUCUGUAGAAAAAAAAAAAUUCGGCCAG
rnacentral:lncRNA from 1 species